rnacentral:rRNA from 1 species
GACGAACGCUGGCGGCGUGCUUAACACAUGCAAGUCGAACGGAAAGGCCCUGCUUGCAGGGUACUCGAGUGGCGAACGGGUGAGUAACACGUGGGUGAUCUGCCCUGCACUUUGGGAUAAGCCUGGGAAACUGGGUCUAAUACCGGAUAUGACCUUCCAUGUAGUGUGGGGGGUGGAAAGAUUUAUCGGUGUGGGAUGAGCCCGCGGCCUAUCAGCUUGUUGGUGGGGUAAUGGCCUACCAAGGCGUCGACGGGUAGCCGGCCUGAGAGGGUGGACGGCCACAUUGGGACUGAGAUACGGCCCAGACUCCUACGGGAGGCAGCAGUGGGGAAUAUUGCACAAUGGGCGGAAGCCUUAUGCAGCGACGCCGCGUGGGGGAUGACGGCCUUCGGGUUGUAAACCUCUUUCGACAGGGACGAAGCUUCGGUGACGGUACCUGUAGAAGAAGCACCGGCUAACUACGUG